rnacentral:rRNA from 1 species
ACCGUGUGCCUACAAACCGUGGGAGUUCUUCUUUAUGAAGAAUGACCGCGUGCCUAUUGAAGAAUGAGCCGGCGAGUUAAUCUGCGUAGCUAGGUUAAGGUAUGACGUACCGGAGCCGUAGCGAAAGCGAGUCUGAAUAGGGCGAUCACCGAUUUAAGAGGAAAUCGUCUUUGAAACUUUUAGUGAACGUUGGAAUAUUGAUUUCUGAUUAGAUCUUCGGAUUUAUGAAGAAUGAAAUAUGAAGGUAAUUAGCGUCGAGUGAAUGAGACGAUGAAAUCUUUGUGUCGAGGGUUGCGCGGAUUAGACCUGAAACCGUGUGAGCUACCCAUGGCCAGGAUGAAGCCCGGAUAAUAUCCGGGUGAAGGUCCGAACCCGUUUACGUUGCAAAGUGAUGGGAUGAGCUGUGGGUAGGGGUGAAAUGCUAAACGAACACGGAGAUAGCUGGUUUUCUCCGAAAUGCAUUUAGGUGCAGCCUCGGAUAAUUACCUCGCGGAGGUAGAGCUCUGGAUGGACUAGGGGGCGUGAGCUUACCAAACCCAACCAAACUCCAAAUGCCGUAGAGGUUUAAUCCGGGAGUGAGACAGUGACGGAUAAGCGCCAUUGUCAAAAGGGAAACAGCCCAGAUCGCCAGCUAAGGCCCCUAAAUACGGACUAAGUGUGAAACGUAGUUGGAAUGCUCAGACAGCCAGGAGGUUGGCUUAGAAGCAGCCACCCUUUAAAGAGUGCGUAAUAGCUCACUGGUCGAGGGUUCCUGCGCGGAAAAUAAACGGGGCUCAAGUCCGUUGCCGAAGCUGCGGGAUUCCAGAGUAAUUCUGGGAUCGGUAGGAGAACGUUCUCAGGGGAUUGAAGGUAGAUUGGAAGGUCUGCUGGACCGCUGAGAAGUGCGAAUGCCGGCAUGAGUAGCGACAAUCCUGGUAAGAAUCCAGGACACCGGAAGUCCAAGGUUUCCUACGCAACGCUGAUCGACGUAGGGUUAGUCGGUCCUAAGGCGAAGCCGAAAGGCGAUGUCGAUGGACAGCAGGUCAAAAUUCCUGCACCACUUAACUUCCGUUUUAAAGUCUCGGGGGGACGCGGAGAGCUAGACGAAGCAUGCCUAUUGGACAUGGUGUGUGUAUUCCUGCAGGCGAGCUGUGGCGUCAAAAAUGCCGUGGUGUUUGAGCUGAGAGGAAUGCGAACCCUUAGGAACUCCUUCGGGAACUUCGUUGAUGCUGAACCGCCUAGAAAAGCCCCGAGUACAAGGAAACGAGUGACCGUACCGCAAACCGACACAGGUGGACAGGGGUAAAUGCCCCCAGGUGACCGGGAGAACCAUCGUUAAGGAACUCGGCAAUCUAACCCCGUAACUUCGGGAUAAGGGGUGCCGCUGACGUAUUAGGAUUUACUCCGAAAAGCAUUGGCGGCCGCAGAGAAUAGGCCCAAGCGACUGUUUAUCAAAAACAUAGGUCCGUGCCAAAGCGCAAGCUGAUGUAUACGGGCUGACGCCUGCCCAGUGCCGGAAGGUUAAGGGGAGGAGUGAGAGCUCCGAACCGAAGCCCCGGUGAACGGCGGCCGUAACUAUAACGGUCCUAAGGUAGCGAAGUCCCUUGUCGGGUAAGUUCCGACCUGCACGAAAGGCGUAACGACUUGGGCGCUGUCUCAACGGUGGACUCGGUGAAAUUGCAGGACCCGUAAAGAUGCGGGUUACCCGCGGCAGGACAAAAAGACCCCGUGGAGCUUUACUGCAGCUUGGCAUUGAAUCGUAGUUAAUGGUGCGCAGGAUAGGUGGGAGGCUUUGAAAUUCUGACUUCGGUCAGGGUGGAGCCGUCGUUGAGAUACCACUCUCCAUUAAUAGCGGUCCUAACCUUUUUUAAGGGACAUUGUCUGGCAGGCAGUUUGACUGGGGCGGUCGCCUCCCAAAAUGUAACGGAGGCGCCCAAAGGUCACCUCAGGCUGGAUGGAAAUCAGUCUUGGAGUGCAUUGGCAUAAGGUGGCUUGACUGCGAGACCUACAAGUCGAGCAGGGACGAAAGUCGGGCAAAGUGAUCCCACGGUACCGAGUGGAAGGGCCG